rnacentral:rRNA from 1 species
GAGUGAAGCGGCAACAGCUCAAUUUGAAAUCUGGCCCCCCCCGGGGGGCCCGAGUUGUAAUUUGCAGAGGAUGCUUUGGGCGAGGCGCCUUCCGAGUUCCCUGGAACGGGACGCCACAGAGGGUGAGAGCCCCGUCUGGUCGGACGCCGAGCCUCUGUAAAGCUCCUUCGACGAGUCGAGUAGUUUGGGAAUGCUGCUCAAAAUGGGAGGUAUAUGUCUUCUAAAGCUAAAUACCGGCCAGAGACCGAUAGCGCACAAGUAGAGUGAUCGAAAGAUGAAAAGCACCUUGAAAAGGGGGUUAAACAGUACGUGAAAUUGUUGAAAGGGAAGCGCUCGUGACCAGACUUGGGGCGGGCGGAUCAGCCGGCGUUCUCGCCGGCGCACUCCGCCCGUCCCAGGCCAGCAUCAGUUCGCGCCGGGGGACAAAGGCGGCGGGAACGUGGCUCCCCAGGGAGUGUUAUAGCCCGCCGCGCCAUGCCCCGGGGGCGGACUGAGGGCCGCGCAUCACUGCAAGGAUGCUGGCGUAAUGGUCACCAGCGACCCGUCUUGAAAC